GGAGAGCCGGGAGAGCCAUGGUGCUGGGAGCUGACCCAGGGGUGGGAACAGCGAGGAGAGAGAGAGGGGAGAGGGAAGAAAGGAAAGCCCAGAACUGCCCAGGGAUUAACCAUCUGUGUGUUUUGUGGGGGCCAGUCCCCCCAGGACACCUGAUCUCCUCCUCCAGGCUGUACAACCCUGGUUCCUUUAAGUGCUCCUCACGUGAACAUUUUAGAGUUCAAGCCAUAUCAGAACUAAGAAGAGACUGUUAAGUUUAGCAGUUAUUGGUUCAGUGGUGACUUUCCAUAAGAGGUGUGUUUGAAUCACAGCGGACCUCCUGUUGGAGAGGUAGUAUGGAGGAAAAGGAAGAGGAUGAGGAAGAGGAGGGCUGCACUUGGGGGUCGGACGACCCCGCUUUGAAUCUUUGCUCCACAGUAAAUCUCCUACAUAUGAACCUUCAAGUUGCGAAUUUUCAAAGAUGAGAACACAUGUUCCGUCAGUGUCAGGCGUGAGGGAAAUGGCAACUUGCCCUUCCUCUCCUAUUGCCGCUGAUCCUUCAACGCUACCAUCUCUCACCUCCUCUCCCUCCUCUGGUCGGUAACUCUUCUUCUCUGUUCAUUCAAUGUCAGCCCCUGUAUGCAAGCUGUUGUACUG
ensembl:lncRNA